rnacentral:rRNA from 1 species
GAUACGGUUAACGGAGCGAAAGCGACGUUCAACCGCAAAAGAAGCAGAGGGGGCUUAGUGGUGGGGUGACUGCGUACCUUUUGUAUAAUGGGUCAGCGACUUAUAUUCUGUAGCAAGGUUAACCGAAUAGGGGAGCCGGAGGGAAACCGAGUCUUAAUUGGGCGUUAAGUUGCAGGGUAUAGACCCGAAACCCGGUGAUCUAGCCAUGGGCAGGUUGAAGGUUGGGUAACACUAACUGGAGGACCGAACCGACUAAUGUUGAAAAAUUAGCGGAUGACCUGUGGCUGGGGGUGAAAGGCCAAUCAAACCGGGAGAUAGCUGGUUCUCCCCGAAAGCUAUUUAGGUAGCGCCUCGUGAACUCAUCUCCGGGGGUAGAGCACUGUUUCGGCUAGGGGGCCAUCCCGGCUUACCAACCCGAUGCAAACUGCGAAUACCGGAGAAUGUUAUCACGGGAGACACACGGCGGGUGCUAACGUCCGUCGUGAAGAGGGAAACAACCCAGACCGCCAGCUAAGGUCCCAAAGUCAUGGUUAAGUGGGAAACGAUGUGGGAAGGCCCAGACAGCCAGGAUGUUGGCUUAGAAGCAGCCAUCAUUUAAAGAAAGCGUAAUAGCUCACUGGUCGAGUCGGCCUGCGCGGAAGAUGUAACGGGGCUAAACCAUGCACCGAAGCUGCGGCAGCGACACUCAGGUGUUGUUGGGUAGGGGAGCGUUCUGUAAGCCUGCGAAGGUGGCCUGUGAGGGUUGCUGGAGGUAUCAGAAGUGCGAAUGCUGACAUAAGUAACGAUAAAGCGGGUGAAAAGCCCGCUCGCCGGAAGACCAAGGGUUCCUGUCCAACGUUAAUCGGGGCAGGGUGAGUCGACCCCUAAGGCGAGGCCGAAAGGCGUAGUCGAUGGGAAACGGGUUAAUAUUCCCGUACUUGGUGUUACUGCGAAGGGGGGACGGAGAAGGCUAUGUUGGCCGGGCGACGGUUGUCCCGGUUUAAGCGUGUAGGUGUGUGUUCCAGGUAAAUCCGGUU